GACGAACGCUGGCGGCGUGCUUAACACAUGCAAGUCGAACGGAAAGGCCCUGCUUUUGUGGGGUGCUCGAGUGGCGAACGGGUGAGUAACACGUUAGUAACCUUCCCUUGACUUUGAGAUAACUUCAGGAAACUGGGGCUAAUACCGGAUAGGAGCUCCUGCUGCAUGGUGGGGGUUGGAAAGUUUCGGCGGUCGGGGAUGGACUCGCGGCUUAUCAGCUUGUUGGUGGGGUAGUGGCUUACCAAGGCUUUGACGGGUAGCCGGCCUGAGAGGGUGACCGGCCACAUUGGGACUGAGAGACGGCCCAGACUCCUACGGGAGGCAGCAGUGGGGAAUAUUGCACAAUGGGCGGAAGCCUGAUGCAGCGACGCCGCGUGCGGGAUGACGGCCUUCGGGUUGUAAACCGCUUUCGCCUGUGACGAAGCGUGAGUGACGGUAAUGGGUAAAGAAGCACCGGCUAACUACGUG
rnacentral:rRNA from 1 species